CAGCAGCCGCGGGAAUACGUAGGGUGCAAGCGUUAAUCGGAAUUACUGGGCGUAAAGCGUGCGCAGGCGGUUAUAUAAGACAGAUGUGAAAUCCCCGGGCUCAACCUGGGAACUGCAUUUGUGACUGUAUAGCUAGAGUACGGCAGAGGGGGAUGGAAUUCCGCGUGUAGCAGUGAAAUGCGUAGAUAUGCGGAGGAACACCGAUGGCGAAGGCAAUCCCCUGGGCCUGUACUGACGCUCAUGCACGAAAGCGUGGGGAGCAAACAGGAUUAGAUACCCCGUAGUCCCUGUCUCUUAUACA
rnacentral:rRNA from 1 species